AAGAGCGCAGGCGCAGCUCACCCACAACUUCAGUUCGGUCAACUUCGGCUAGUGGUGAUCGAAACUUCGAUGUGUGUGGAAGUGAAUUUAACUAACAUAAUCUCACAAAAAUAACAAUAAUCAGUAACUAAAGUACAAUAUCUAAUUUGAUCGUGUUGGAAUAAACAUUUUACGUGUAAUCAGUUGUAUAAAUAGUAUUCAUGAUGUGUGAUAAUAACAAUCCUUCAACGCAAAGUAUAGCGGACUACUUAGCUCAGUUGCUCAAAGACAGGAAGCAACUGGCUGCGUUCCCGAAUGUUUUCAUGCACAUGGAGCGACUUCUGGAUGAAGAAAUAGCAAAAGUUCGAGCAAGUUUAUUCCAAAUAAAUGGAGUCAAGAAAGAACCACUCGUACUACCAGAGCCUGAAGGCAUGGUCACCACACUCACAGAAAAAGUUUACGUGCCAGUCAAAGAACAUCCAGAUUUCAACUUCGUUGGAAGGAUUCUAGGACCCAGAGGCAUGACAGCUAAACAGUUAGAACAAGAAACAGGCUGCAAAAUCAUGGUCAGAGGAAAAGGAUCAAUGAGGGAUAAGAAAAAGGAGGAUGCAAACAGAGGAAAGCCAAAUUGGGAACAUUUGGCCGACGAUCUCCACGUCUUACUCACAGUUGAGGAUACCGAAAACCGGGCGAAGAUCAAGUUGGCCAGGGCUGUCGACGAAGUCAAACGUCUGCUUGUACCUCAAGCCGAUGGCGAAGAUGAGCUGAAGAAACGUCAGCUGAUGGAGUUGGCAAUUAUAAACGGGACUUACCGCGACUCCAGCACCAAGGCAGUAGUACCCGUCAACGGUCAGUGCCUCAUAAACGAUCCCACAGCGGACGAGGAGUGGCGGCGCGUGGCUGCGGCCGCGGCCGAGACGCAGCGGCUGCUAGCCCCGGGCGGCGGGGUGGGGGGAGUGGGCGGCGUGGCGCUGCGCUCGCAGGCUCCUCUGGGGGCCCCGCUGAUCCUGUCGCCGCGCAUGUCGCAAGGCGCCCAGGCCGGCCUACUCAACGGCUCGGGGGCCCAGGCCGCGGCCGGCCUGCUGUCGCCCGGCGAGCCCGCCCACCAGCUCAUCUACGCGUCGCCCUACGACUACGCUAACUACGCAGCUCUGACGGCCGCCGCCAACCCGCUGCUCACCACCGAGUACGCCGCCGCCGACCAUACGGCGUCGAGAUAUCUGCUAGCUGGCUUUUGACAUUGGCCGCAUCAGCCCACAAUAAGAUACGGCAGACUGCAAGCGCCGUAUCGCACUACGCAUCAUUAUUGCCGUCCUUGAUAUCAUAAUCCUCCUUCUAAACGCCUCAGGACGUCCUCUUUACAGUCAUAAUAAAACGCCAUGAUCAAUUUAUAGUGUUAAGAUUUUAUUGUUUUAAGUAACGUUAGCUUACGAACUCAUUAUUUUGUACCUACGAUGUUAACGUCUUUAAUAUUUACGAAUAUGUUUUCUUCUACAGCUGUUUUGUACAGUUCAAUACAAAUUAUAAUUUUUGUUUUACUUGACAGUCAAAGAUAUAUUAUUUAUUAUAUAACAGAAUAAUUUACUAUUUAUUCAAAUUAAUAUAAUUACCAGAAUAUUUAUUGAAAAUAUAUUUUCUUUUAUAGCAGUUGUUUCGUGUUAGGGCUGAUGGCAGUUCAAUAAUUGUUUUAAAUUAGAUAUUAUUUUAGUUAAUUCUAAACUGCCAAGAAAACUCUAUAUAAGUUACCGAUGUUUAAUAUACAAAGACGUAAAGUUUUUUUUUAUAUAUACCUAUUUAUAUACCUGUCUUGUUACUUGAUACACUUCACUCGAAUGAUGAUAGAUAUAAUAGAACCCAUCAUUAGUUCUUGUGAUAACCCUUGCUUGUAACACAACUAAUUUAUUAACAUUAUGUUAAUGUAGAUUCAAACUUCAUUGAGUUUUGGACUAAGAUAUAUCUUACUUUAAAGUAUUAUCAUUUAUUCUAAAAUUCCACCAUUUGCAUGUGGUUUUUUUCAUCCUUUUUUUCUAUAUUUCCAGUAAAAUACUUGUGAAUAACAAAAGAAAUUUCGUAUUAACAAUAGUUAAUCUGAAUGAACGCAAUGAGUUGCAUAGAUAAUUCAGCAAUUACAAGCAAAAGGGACCAAAUACAAAUUGAUUUACGAAAACAACACAUUUACAUAUUAUUUAACUAUAUUUUAACAAAACUGACAAAAUUAAUAACGCGAUACACACUCACAUUACGAACAAAACGUGGAACAUUCUAGGCGGUUUAAAUGUUUAUAUACGUUUAUCGUGUAGCAAUAACAUUUGCAGCUGCAUUCUACACACUGUUAUUGCUACAAAUAUUAUAUCGUAACUUAUUAAUUUAUUAGCCAUAUUAUUAUAUUUAUAAACAUACCAUAGGCUAAGUAUUAUUAUUAUCUUUAAAAGAUUUCUAGUUAGGUUAGAAAAGAGUGAGCUUUAUGAAAAUAUUAUACACCCGUAUAUUAUUGUUUAGGUUUAUUAUAUCGCAGUUAACACUGUAGUCAAUUUUAAUUAAAUCAUGAAAUUAUCGAAGCCAGCCAUUACCUGUACCUUGACCGGGCAUACGUAGACCCGUUCGUUUAAAUAUUUUAUUUUGUUAUAUUUUCCAAAGCAAUAUAAUAGAUAAUAGAGUAAUCUAUAGGCCUAAGCAUAAUAAUAGAAGUUAGUGUUACUGCCAAAUGAAGAUUUAAUCAUAAAAUUAUAUCUUAGUAUUACCGAACGACAGAGACGAGUAUUUGGCAGUGAUAUCUAGGUACUUGCGAUCGUUAAGUCUAGAAAACGAAAUCAUUUACUAUUUCUAUUUUAUAAAUGAGAUUAAAAUUCUUUGCAGCAUUUAGAUGUAAAGCUACGCCCACUUCUAUAUACUUAGUCUUGCAGCUUUAAAUGUAUAUGUAUUCCAAAUUGAUUUUCCAGUGAAUUUCUAUAUUAUAUAUCCGCAUUGCCGUAAGCAAAGGUCUGGGUUCACCGACUCGGUGUUGGAAGCUUUUGAUGUUGAGCUAAGACGCAGAUGUUAAAUGUGUAUAUGCCGCUAGGUGUGGUGAGGAGGGCGCAACGGCUCGCGCAGGUCAGGGAGCACCCUUACCAGCGCACUGCCUUACCGGCGCCUUAAUUCCCGCCAAAACGCUCUCACGCCGCCAUUUUGUUCACAAGGUGAGAAGCGCGUGCACACGCAUGCAGCUAGGUGAAUACGUUUGCUUGUGUCUUAUUGGUGUCGCAUUCAUUGGAACUUGCAUUUUUAUAUCGAACCUCUUUCGAAUGCAUCUCAAUAUUCUUGCAAGUUUCAAUUGUUAUUUUUUGUAUGUAUUUCAAUUUUACAUUUCUGAGCAAGCAUAUUCGUCUCGAGUAUGCGUGGGUACCUUUGCUUUACUGUCUCUCUGUGUCACUAUUUAUAUUUAUUAUAUUGUGUACUUAUUAGUUACGUUCUCGAAUAGUUUGUAUGAGGAUAAGACGCUUUAUCGCUCUUCAUACCGGAUCUGAGGUGACACUGCAUAAUUUGAAAACUGUGAUUUUUAUAUUUCUUUUUUAUAGAUAUUUUAGAUCUGUUACAUGUUGUGAUGCGAGGCAUUAUUAGAGACGCUCUAUCAUUAUAUUCAAAGUUAAACAUCAGCGUUACCAAAUUAUUUGUCUGUACCUAGUUGUUUUCAAUGCUAUAGUAACGCGAUUGAAAUCACAACAUGUCUUCGGACAGUCGUCAUAUUUUCAGGUAUACAUAAAUUAUAUAUCGAGGGAAGAAGGAUUGAUGUUACAUUAUUCUUUAAUUGCAAAGUUUGACGUAGACGUACGUAGACGGUAGUGUUCAAUAUUACCAAAUAUAAUCCACGGAGGUGCUACAAGCCGGUUGUGAGAUCCUUCUUUCCUGAGUCUCGCCCAGUAUUAGUCAAAGGAAAGAGCAUUCUCAGAAUUUGUGCCAUCAAUCCAGUAUUAAACGUAAUGCCCCUCCUUUGACUUGAUAUGUUUUUCAUAAUCAUCACAACUUUCUAUUAGUCAAUAUAAGAUUUUUAUAUGAAAUUUUUUAAGCUAGUUGUUUUUAUUUUUGCCUUAGGUAUUAUAUUUACUUUCUUAUUUGAAAGUGGUUUAUUAUUAAGAUAAUUUGCACUUGUGUCCUUGUGGAUUUAAAGCCGACAUCCAUUAUGUCGGUUACGUAUUUUCACGCUUCUUUAUAUGAAAUGAUUUUAAGUCGAAAUGCUAUUCGUAAUUUUAUAAAAUGGAUGAUAAUAUGCGAUAAUGUUUUGUAAAGUAUUGUUUCCGUUGUUGAUUGUAAAUAAAUGCAUUUUCUGAGAAUAUACACGCAAUAAAUUGUCUGAAAUUUAAA
rnacentral:misc_RNA from 1 species